rnacentral:rRNA from 1 species
GUGCCAGCCGCCGCGGUAAUACGGGGGGGGCAAGCGUUGUUCGGAAUUACUGGGCGUAAAGGGCUCGUAGGCGGCCAUCUAAGUCAGACGUGAAAUCCCUCGGCUUAACCGGGGAACGGCGUCUGAUACUGGACGGCUUGAAUCCGGGAGAGGGAUGCGGAAUUCCAGGUGUAGCGGUGAAAUGCGUAGAUAUCUGGAGGAACACCGGUGGCGAAGGCGGCAUCCUGGACCGGCAUUGACGCUGAGGAGCGAAAGCCAGGGGAGCAAACGGGAUUAGAUACCCUGGUAGUCC